UUUUUUUUUUUUUGAAGAGCAUAUGUUUCCUUAUUAAUGGUGGAAAUAGUCAAUGACAGUAUUAUUAUAAUAGUAGAAUAAUAACUCUUUAAUCUUGUUCCUGGUGGAGAAGAGAAGAGGAAGAGGAAGUGUAGAAAAUGAUGAAGUACGCGUUUGAAUGUCUGCUGAGAAAGAGAAACUCAAGGGGCAUUCUCCCAUCAUCAUCAUCAUUAAUAAGAUGCAUGGCACAGAAGAAGAAUUUGUGCAGCAGCAGCCAAACCCAAACCCAAACCCAAAGAGAAACCGCAAGGACAGUCCCAAGAGAGAGGGUGGAGUGUGUGGUGAUAGGGGCAGGGGUAGUGGGAUUAGCAGUGGCCAGAGAGCUCGCUCUGAGAGGCAGACAAGUACUCGUACUCGAUUCCGCUCCCACUUUUGGAACCGCCACUAGCUCCCGCAACAGCGAAGUCAUACACGCCGGUAUCUACUACCCUCCCAAUUCUCUCAAGGCAAUUCUUUGUGUGAGAGGAAGAGAAAUGCUGUACAAGUACUGCUCUGAACACAACAUUCCUCAUAAACAAAUUGGCAAACUCAUAGUUGCUACUGGAGCUUCAGAGAUUCCAAAGUUGGAUGAUUUAAUGAAUCGUGGAAUUCAAAAUGGGGUUGAUGGCUUAAGGAAGAUAGAGGCUUCUGAAGCCAAGAGAAUGGAACCUGAACUGCAAUGUGUGAAAGCUUUACUGUCACCUGCUUCUGGGAUUGUUGAUACUCAUUCCCUAAUGCUAUCUCUAGUGGGGGAAGCUGAAAGUCAUAGAACAACGUUCUCCUACAAUACUACUGUCAUUGGUGCCCAUCUUGAAGGAAAUAGAAUCUACCUCCAUGUUUCUGAAACAAAACACCUUGAGAACUGGAAUGUGAGGAAUCUAUUGCUCCCGGAGCUAGUACUUAUUCCUGAGCUUGUGGUGAAUUCUACAGGCUUGAGUGCCACUGCCCUUGCAAAUAGAUUUGAAGGUCUAAAUAGUGGAGUUGUUCCUUCUGGAUAUUAUGCACGUGGUUGCUAUUUCACAUUAUCUAAUACUAGAAUCCGCCCUUUCAAUCAUUUGAUAUACCCAAUACCAGAAGAUGGUGGUCUUGGAGUGCAUGUUACUCUUGAUUUGGAUGGCCAAGUCAGGUUUGGCCCAGAUGUUGAGUGGAUUGAAGGAACAGACGAUAUUUCAAGCUUCCUGAACAGAAAUGGAAGAAAGAGAGAAAGGUGCUUCAGUUAUACUUUCAACUUAAAAGCAGUCACUGCCCUCAUUCAACAACAUGCUUCACAUUGUACAGGAGAGAAAAUUCCCGGUUUGACUAUUCUGUAUGCGUUAAUCGUUCCAAGCGAUUCUACCCAGAGAUAAGAAAGUACUACCCAAAUCUGAAAGAUGGAUCUCUAGAACCAGGAUAUGCAGGGAUUCGUCCUAAACUUUCAGGACCCCGGCAGUCUCCUGUUGAUUUUCUAAUACAGGGUGAAGAUGCUCAUGGGGUACCUGGUCUUGUUAACCUUUUCGGAAUUGAGUCACCUGGUUUAACCUCAAGCUUGGCAAUUGCAGAACAUGUAGCUGCUAGGUACUUGAAAUAAUGCAAAACGUAAGCUUCUAGUUUCUUGAUAAGAUAGAAAACCAUUCUGUAAUUUAUAUUUGAAGUUUGAACCAUCUUACUAAGCUGAUGAAAUCUUCAAAAUAGUCUGUAUCAAAAUGUAUCACAUUGUCCAAUUGGACGAAGGAUAUCUAUUAGUGAUGAUCCUUGGUGUUAGAAU